rnacentral:rRNA from 1 species
AGAUUGAACGCUGGCGGCGUGCUUAACACAUGCAAGUCGAGCGGUAACGCGGGAGCAAUCCUGGCGACGAGCGGCGAACGGGUGAGUAAUGCUUGGGAAUCUGCCCAUUAGUGGGGAACAACCAGCCGAAAGGUUGGCUAAUACCGCAUACGCCCUACGGGGGAAAGCGGGGGAUCGUAAGACCUCGCGCUAAUGGAUGAGCCCAAGUCGGAUUAGCUUGUUGGUAGGGUAACGGCCUACCAAGGCGACAAUCCGUAGCUGGUCUGAGAGGACGACCAGCCACACUGGGACUGAGACACGGCCCAGACUCCUACGGGAGGCAGCAGUGGGGGAAUAUUGGACAAUGGGGGCAACCCUGAUCCAGCGACGCCGCGUGUGUGAAGAAGGCCUGCGGGUUGUAAAGCACUUUUAGUGGGGAUGAAAAGCUCAGGGUUAACACCUCUGGGUCUUGACCUAACCACAGAAAAGCACCGGCUAACUCUGCGCCAGCAGCCGC